rnacentral:rRNA from 1 species
UAAGGAAUAUUGGUCAAUGGACGCAAGUCUGAACCAGCCAUGCCGCGUGAAGGAUGAAGGUCCUCUGGAUUGUAAACUUCUUUUAUCUGGGACGAAAACGGGAUUUUUAUCUCAAUUGACGGUACCAGAGGAAUAAGCACCGGCUAACUCCGUGCCAGCAGCCGCGGUAAUACGGAGGGUGCGAGCGUUAUCCGGAUCUACUGGGUUUAAAGGGUGCGUAGGUGGGCUUAUAAGUCAGUGGUGAAAUCUCCGAGCUUAACUUGGAAACUGCCGUUGAUACUAUAGGUCUUGAAUUAUCUGGAGGUAAGCGGGAUAUGUCAUGUAGCGGUGAAAUGCUUAGAUAUGACAUAGAACACCAAUUGCGAAGGCAGCUUACUACAUAUAAAUUGACGCUGAGGCACGAAAGCGUGGGGAUCAAACA